AUAACUUCUACAAUACGAGCUGCUUAAUGAAGGAAACCUUGCGCUUGGAGCAUUGCGUAAGAUUACAUCACAGGAUAAAUAUGCAUUAGCAAAAAGCCUGGGAACAGCUGCUCUGCAGCCACAGGAAGGCCUUUUGGAGAGAGCUGGGGUCAGAGAAGGGGAAGCAAUGUCAAAGGUGUGGUUCUUGUUUGUAUUGAAAACCUGCAUGAGAACUUUUGCUAGACCAAGGGUCCUGACGGUGCAAGAUUCCUUCCCACAUGGCUGAAGUUCAACCUUUGAAGUUCAGGACAAGUCCCCCUUUGCUGGAACAUCUCUCAAUGUUCUUCAUGUUCUUAAAUAAGAAGCAUGUAUAAAAUA